rnacentral:rRNA from 1 species
UAGUCCUAGCCGUAAACGGUGCACGCUUGCUGUGAGCGGAUUCGACCCCGUUCGCGGCGAAGCUAACGCGUUAAGCGUGCCGCCUGGGGAGUACGGUCGCAAGAUUAAAACUCAAAGAAAUUGACGGGGGCCUGCACAAGCGGUGGAGUAUGUGGCUUAAUUCGAUGCAACGCGAAGAACCUUACCUGGCCUUGACAUGCAUCUCUAAGUCGGUGAAAGCCGGCGAGGUAGCAAUACCAAUUUGCACAGGUGCUGCAUGGCUGUCGUCAGCUCGUGUCGUGAGAUGUUGGGUUAAGUCCCGCAACGAGCGCAACCCUCAUGUUCUGUUGCCACUCGGACGAGAGUUCGAAGCACUCUGAACAGACUGCCCCAUUUAAAUGGGGGAGGAAGGUGGGGGAUGACGUCAAGUCAGUAUGGCCCUUAGGGCCAGGGGCUGGCACACGUACUACAAUGCCCCGGG